AGCGGGGGCGAGGACCCAGCUGCAGCCUCUGGGGCGUCUCCGGAAAGUUUAGCGCCUGAGGGAGUGAACUCUGGAGCUGACCUUCCUGGUCUCUAAGCCAUGUGUCCCCGGUGGGAUUUGGCUGUUCACAGUUCUUGGUUUAGCAUCUUCUUCUGGAAACAACCAAGGGAGGCAGGACAGACAAAGAAUCCCACCAUUACCAUUUUAAACCAAGCUGCUAUCAUCUCCAGCCUGGUUUUGGUGAUGAGGAUGGGAUCCAGAGGAGACUACUGAUGGCUUUGGGGACAAUGAGAAACACACAGGUAUAUGUG